CCCUCCGAGAGGGGUCGCUUCGGUCCGCUCGCCCACCGCGGGGGGCUGCAUUGUCUUGGAGGCCGAGCCCCGGGGCCCGCGCCCGUCUCCCCCACGCCGGGCCCCGCGGGCCCCGGGGCUCGGCCCUGCGUCUCUGCAAAGUUUCAAACCCGUUAGGGCAAGCGGCUCGCCCGGCUCGGAGGCGCUUCGGGCCCCUCCGGGGACAGACCCGGGUCUGGGCACCCGGCAUCCGAGCCGUGCGCGCCUGUGGCCUGGCGGGGUUGUGUGCCGGUUCCCCCUGCGGGGAGGGGCGGGGGGCCUCGAACUCUGUCUGAGGAGCAGCGAGACCGUUGCAGUAACUGCACGACACCGGUUCCCCUUUCCGCUGAGUCCUCCAGAGCAGGUUCUGUUUGGCAGAAUGGCUUGGGCGCCUCCCACCCUGAUGAGUGCGAAGAACGUUUAAAAGUGAGUUCGGGUCUUUCUAGUGGUUGGACAGAAGUGCUGGAGGCAGAAACCGGCUGUGUGACUAGCCUUCAGUUUAAAAGCACCAAUCUCUGCCUUCUCGGCGCCUUUGGCAUGGAGAAGAAACGCCUGACCCAGAGGCCAGCCCCCUCAGUCAGCACACGGUCCCUCCCUCAGACACGCUCUGCGGCGAGAUACAGACAGUCUGCAGGCACGGAUGGAUCCUAAAAUUUUGUGGCUUUUUAAAGAAGAGCCUCAUGAACACAGUGGAGACGGCAGCCUUGAGACACUCUGGUGCACUGAUCUGGAAGUCCAGCUCAGACUGAAGUCUAGCUCAGAUCUGGGCGGCUGCUGAUCACAGCUCAAAACAGACAUCUCCAAGAGGAGAAUCCGCCAGGCAGCACCCCUGGAUUUCUCUCCGAAAGGCCGUUCAGCAUUUCACCUCCGACGGCAAGCUCUCUGCACAGCCCUUACUGCUCCCCAUGCCUACCUCAGGAAUGCCUACCCGAUAACUGGAAGAAGAAGGGGGUGGGGGAGAACUUAGGUCUGUGUGAUAUGUUUCAGGGAUUACCAAGUCAAUUACUGAAACAGAAAAGUAAAAAGGAGACAGUCGGGCCUCACCUGCUAGGGCGUAUUCAAUUCAACAGCUCCCGGGGAGAGCACGUUCUCUCUGCGUGGGGACCAGUGUGCCGGCAAGUCCACAGCAGUGUGAGGUAAUAUGUUUGGUCAGCAGGUGUGGACCCCGAGUGAACAGUGGCUUAAGACCUGGAAAGCAAGAGGCAGUCAUGCCCUGCAAGGAGAAAAGCCUUCUCGGGCUAUUAUUUAACAUUCUACAUAUACGAGCUACAGAAUGAACGAAGGAGAAUUAUCUAAAAUCCCUGCCAAAGCAGGGCCUGCUUUCUCGAAGCAAUCUCAAGCUUUAGUAGUUCAGACAGAUUCUCUCGCUGACAAUUAAUAUUAAUGGGUAGAUUUCACAAUGUGGCAUUAUCACGCGGGAGAUGGGUGGGCACACCAGCUGGGCUUUGGCAGGUAUUAGAUGUAAUCAAAGGGAUUACUCGGCUCAGGGAGAAACAGGAAACCUUGGGUUUGUUUAGUCUCUUGCCUCUUUUGUUUGGACGCAGCUCUAGGUGUGCUUAACUGUUUUCUCCCUUGGUCCUUUAGUUGUGGUUGGAAACAUCUGGGAAGGGGGACACACGCAGAGGCGAAGAAGGGUGGACAAUCUGAAAAGAGAGCUUGAGUGUGGAGCUGUGGUCCACUUUGCUUUCUCACUUGAAAUUCACCAACAUUUGCCGAGUGCCAACUCUGGGCAAGGGGCCUGCCAGGGUACCCCGAGAGCCUCAAGUAAGACGCCGGUGGCCCCAGAUCUGUUUCUGGGUCCUCCAGUCCGGGUGAAGGGCACCGCGUCUGCAGGAUCACGCAGGCCUUCAUUCAUCAUCUUGCACGCUCCCCACCACUGACCUGCACGGUCAUAGAAGGGCAUACACGUCGCUUCGGCAAUCAGAAGGUGGACUCUACCUCGGCUUUCAGAAAAUAAUCUCCUAACAUCCCAAGCGCUGAGCAGAGGAGUCCACCAAACACAUACACAUCCGUUUUCAUUAAAAGUCCACAGAAAUGUUGGUUGGUUCUUGGUCUUGGAGGCAGGUGAGCAGGCAGUCCUGAGGUGUGGGAACCCUGUCGGAGGGUCCUUCAGGCCACUUCAGCUUUCGCUCUGAAGGUAAGUGUGAAACACACUUACCACCUAAGACUCUGCCAAAUGGGAAUCCCCAACUCCCUCACCCAGGAUUGCCAUGCCUCCCCCCCCCCCCGCCCCCGGCCCCCAGGAUUCUCUGCUAAGCCAGUGGGAAGAACCGAAACACCCAGGAGCUACCCCCCCCCAACUCUUCUUGAACACAUAGGGCUGCAGAAGAUCCCAAGUUCUGAUAAAUUGUGCCUGUUUAUCUUGCCCCCAAAAAGUCAGUGUGUGGGACCGGUGUGCUUAGCCACCUUAAUCGAUGACGGUGAUUACCCUCGGAACUUCCUCUGAAGAUAGAGCAAUGAGAGGGCGGUUCGGUCCGCAAGAACGGCCGAAUUUGAUAAGGACCUGUUUCCUCCCCCUCACCGCCCCCCCCACCUCUCCCAUGUGACCCCAGCCUAAGACCCGCUCAGGUCGCCAGCCUUCACUCCUUUCCCCAGACACAAUCAACAGCCAGCUUACAGCACACUGCACUUAGAGGUGGAGCUCCUUUCUCCUCCGGCAGCUUCUGGCCAUAGGCUCAGGUGUAACGCACACGUGUUUCAUGUUUUACGUGAAUCCCUACAAAGCACGGUAUUAGCAACAAAGCUACCAAUCCAGCUGCUCGUGAGGCCACCGUGAACCCCUAACGUGGUGUGGCCUACCGGAACAGCCACUAGCCAAGGUAGUCACUUAGCUUCUACUUCAGCCCAGUGGUCACAGGGGAAAGAAGAGUUUUCACGGCCCUGCAGAACCUGCCUGCUUGGGUCAUCCAGGCCCAGGUGCCUCCUAGACACCUGAGCCCUCUAACCUAACAAUUUGGGGAUUAGGAAAAACCUCGAGAGAGCAGACUUACGAAUAUUGUUGUUGUUGUUGUUGUUGUUGCUAAGAGAUUACAGGGGAAAGCAGCUUCCUGAGCAGGCACUUGGGAGCUGACCCCACUCCGGAGCUUGCAGCCCUCUACCCUCAAAAACUUGCAUGAAGGGAACGAGUCUCCAGUGUUGGCCGGGCUAAGCACCGCCCGCGUCCAGCGUUCCCUUGCCUCGUCCUUUGCACCAGGGCGAACCGCAGGACAAAGGCGGCAGCUGCCCAGCACAGCGCGCAGGGGCGACCACGGCCACCCGGGGCUACCCCCAGGCGGCGAGGGAGGCCGGGCACCCGCCUUUGUCUGCCUGCCUCCGUGCUCCGGGUCUGCAUGAGGCGGGCGCCAUCGUGCGGCCAGAGUUCGGUACUGCAGUGCCGGUGGCAUGGCGGGAUGACAGGCCAAGCUGGACUGUUGUUGGCGUCAUGAGAUAUGGCCCCUGCGUUGGCUGUGAAGAUGCCUUCUCUUAUAUACGUAAUGUGCCGCGUAAAUAUAGAACUGCUUCUAACAAAGGAGUAUGAGCCACCCGAAGGGAAAAGGAGGAAGUGGACAGACUUGUCUAUGUAUAGUGACAUCUACACUCUUGAUUGAAAAUACUGGCUAACAGGGUUGCCCAGCUCCUCACGGGAUACUCCUGGGACCUCACCAAAGUACCGGAUUCCAGUCCUGCCAGUGACCUAUGGAAACUGUCUGUAACACGAGGACAGGAGAGCGGCGUCUAAUUCUUAUGGCCAUUUGUACCAUGACCUCACAUACACUUCCCAAACAUAUGCCUGAGAUGUACGUGAUGUUGUGGCCCUCUUCUCUGGAGACAGAAACUCUAUGACAAGAUACAGAAAUGAAAUUAAACUGUAUUUGGAGGGAUUAGAGGUUUUUCUAACUUUAGUAAGAGCGGAAAACGUGUUUGUGCCCAACCUCUGCCAUGAGUUUUGUUUUAAAAGAUAACAGAAAAGGGUGCUUCCUUCUGGCUUGUUUGAGACGGCAGGGGUAGAAUGGAUUUGCUCAGAAAUGAUCCUUCAGCUCCUUCAAGCCCGGCCUUCAUUUCUAAAAGGCAGCCCUGUCUUCCAGCAUGGUGGACAGCGUUCCAGCAACUUAAGUCCAGAGUCCAUUUAGGUUCUGAUCCAUCUUCGGUGGUAUUUAAGAGCUGAAGCAGGCCUGGGAGACAAGACUGAAUCUAUACAUUGUGAAGUCAAUCUGGGUUUUCAAGUAUGGGGGCGUGAGAGAUCGCUUCAUGUGAGACGAGUUUUUCUUCUUGAUCUAUUGGCUAAGAAGCCAAGGGGCAAAAAAGAGCAUACUCCCAUCGCUUCACUGUUAUCACCAUGAGUGUUAAGUUUCUGUCUUUGCAGCGUUUUCUUCUCAUAUAGCUGCUGUUCUCACCACUCUGCUACAGAAUCCGAGACAGGCAAAUACGAGACUGGGCGAAAGAGAUAAAGGCCUCCAUAAGAGCUGCUGCUCUUUGCUGUGGAAGUUUGGGGUUUGUGCUUCUUUCAGUUUUGCUUUCCUGUGUCCGUGUUUCUUUCUUUCUUUUAUUAUUUUUUUAAUUUAGCAGCCAAGAAUUCAAGAGCUAAGGCUGCUGAUAAACCUGUGUUAAGAUUAUCUCAGGUACCCAAGUGUGGGAGAAAACAAGAGUCCAGAAUAAAUUGCUUUUCUCAAAGUGGACCUUUCUGGCUUGAUUCGGUCUGGGAACUAAGCUAGAAGGCAGACGGGGCUUCCCUCCCAACAUCUGCGUCUUGAUUCCCAGAGUCUGAGAACCCCCAAGUACCUUUAUGGGCCCAGUGAGGACAUCAGCUCCCCCAAAAGCAGAGCUCAGGAGUCGGGCAGCACCCCAAGCUCCAGACGGGCAUAACCUGCAAACCACAAGACUC